AUUGAACGCUGGCGGCAUGCUUUACACAUGCAAGUCGAACGAGUGGCGGACGGGUGAGUAACGCAUCGGAACGUGCCCAGUAGUGGGGGAUAACUGUCCGAAAGGGCAGCUAAUACCGCAUAUUAUUCGAGCGGCCGAUAUCUGAUUAGCUGGUUGGCGGGGUAAAGGCCCACCAAGGCGACGAUCAGUAGCGGGUCUGAGAGGAUGACCGGCCACACUGGGACUGAGACACGGCCCAGACUCCUACGGGAGGCAGCAGUGGGGAAUGUUGGACAAUGGGGGCAAGCCUGAUCCAGCCAUGCCGCGUGUAUGAAGAAGGCCUUCGGGUUGUAAAGGACUUUUGGCAGGGAAGCGGUACCUGAAGAAUAAGCACCGGCUAACUACGUGCCAGCAGCCGCGGUAAUUC
rnacentral:rRNA from 1 species